rnacentral:lncRNA from 1 species
AUCUCACACAACGUCCAUGUUGAAUCGCCAAACAACUCUGAAGCUUUUCACGCUAUUCCACGUUGAGUGAACCUUGCGGAGAAAACGAGGAGCGAGCAUGCUUGCCGUGCACUGAGCCAAAAUGCUCGCAUCCCUACAUCGAAGAGCCCUACUGCGUUUUCAUUAAAAAGUGUCGGCUUGGAUGUGCCUGCAAAUUUGGAUAUAUUCGCCAUGAUCUCGAUAAUCGAUGUAUUUCCGUUCUGGACUGCAAAAUUCCAGUGCGACAGCUCAAGGCUCCCAUUUGGUAAAGUGUAUUUAUUGGGAUCAAUACAUUUCUUUUAGAGUACCAAUUGUGAUUUUCUUCU